AGGGAAUCUUCGGCAAUGGACGGAAGUCUGACCGAGCAACGCCGCGUGAGUGAAGAAGGUUUUCGGAUCGUAAAGCUCUGUUGUAAGAGAAGAACGAGUGUGAGAGUGGAAAGUUCACACUGUGACGGUAUCUUACCAGAAAGGGACGGCUAACUACGUGCCAGCAGCCGCGGUAAUACGUAGGUCCCGAGCGUUGUCCGGAUUUAUUGGGCGUAAAGCGAGCGCAGGCGGUUAGAUAAGUCUGAAGUUAAAGGCUGUGGCUUAACCAUAGUAGGCUUUGGAAACUGUUUAACUUGAGUGCAAGAGGGGAGAGUGGAAUUCCAUGUGUAGCGGUGAAAUGCGUAGAUAUAUGGAGGAACACCGGUGGCGAAAGCGGCUCUCUGGCUUGUAACUGACGCUGAGGCUCGAAAGCGUGGGGAGCAAACAGGAUUAGAUACCCUGGUAGUCCACGCCGUAAACGAUGAGUGCUAGGUGUUAGACCCUUUCCGGGGUUUAGUGCCGUAGCUAACGCAUUAAGCACUCCGCCUGGGGAGUACGACCGCAAAGUUG
rnacentral:rRNA from 1 species